GAUGAACGCUGGCGGCGUGCCUAAUACAUGCAAGUCGAGCGAACAGACGAGGAGCUUGCUCCUCUGACGUUAGCGGCGGACGGGUGAGUAACACGUGGAUAACCUACCUAUAAGACUGGGAUAACUUCGGGAAACCGGAUCUAAUACCGGAUAAUAUAUUGAACCGCAUUGUUCAAUAGUGAAAGACGGUUUUGCUGUCACUUAUAGAUGGAUCCGCGCCGCAUUAGCUAGUUGGUAAGGUAACAGCCUACCAAGGCGACGAUGCGUAGCCGACCUGGGAGGGUGAUCGGCCACACGGGAACUGAGACGCGGACAAGACUACUACGAGAGGCAGCAGUAGGGAACCGUCGGCAAUGGGCGGAAGCCUGACGGAGCAAGGCCGCGUGAGUGAUGAAGGUCUUCGGAUCGUAAAACUCUGUUAUUAGGGAAGAACAAAUGUGUAAGUAAAUAUGCACGUCUUGACGGUACCUAAUCAGAAAGCCACGGCUAACUACGUG
rnacentral:rRNA from 1 species